UGUGCCAGCCGCCGCGGUAAUACGUAGGGUGCGAGCGUUGUCCGGAAUUAUUGGGCGUAAAGAGCUUGUAGGCGGCUUGUCGCGUCUGCUGUGAAAGCCCGGGGCUUAACUCCGGGUCUGCAGUGGGUACGGGCAGGCUAGAGUGUGGUAGGGGAGACUGGAAUUCCUGGUGUAGCGGUGGAAUGCGCAGAUAUCAGGAGGAACACCGAUGGCGAAGGCAGGUCUCUGGGCCAUUACUGACGCUGAGAAGCGAAAGCGUGGGGAGCGAACAGGAUUAGAUACCCUG
rnacentral:rRNA from 1 species